rnacentral:rRNA from 1 species
AAUGAACGUUGGCGGCGUGGAUUAGGCAUGCAAGUCGUACGGACCGUGGUAGCAAUAUUACGGUUAGUGGCGCAAGGGAGAGUAAUACGUAGGUAUUUACCCUGGGGUCUGGGAUAGCGGCGGGAAACUGCCGGUAAUACCAGAUGAUAUCUCCGGAUCAAAGGUGUGAUUCCGCCCUAGGAGAAGCCUGCGGUCUAUCAGCUAGUUGGUAGGGUAACGGCCCACCAAGGCAAAGACGGAUAUGGGGCGUGAGAGCGUGCUCCCACUCACUGGGAAUGAGACACGGCCCAGACACCUACGGGUGGCUGCAGUCGAGAAUCUUCGGCAAUGGGCGCAAGCCUGACCGAGCGACGCCGCGUGCGGGAUGAAGGCCUUCGGGUCGUAAACCGCUGUCGAAGGGGAGGAAAUUGUAGUGGGUUCACCCAUUAUAUUGACCGAUCCUUGGAGGAAGGGCCGGCUAAUCUCGUGCCAGCAGCCGCGGUAA